rnacentral:lncRNA from 1 species
GUUCGAGUGCAUUGAGUCAAUUUCUAACUUCAUUGUAUCUAACCAUUUCUCGAAAUUGAUGUUAUACAUCACCUUGUCAAAAGUACUAAGAUCAUCACCAUGACCCCCAUCUCCCAUAAGGAAUAUUUUUUUCGAUAUCCUCUUUCAGUAUACCCAUGUAUCUUUAAAAAGGAUGGAAAAUUCUACCUGAUCUAUGAGGUGGAGGUGGAACAUUAACUACUGACUCAUCAUAGAUGG